rnacentral:lncRNA from 1 species
AGUUAACUAUGAUCAUCCCUGAUUUAAAAGAAUGUUUUUAAACUGUUUUAAAGAUGUUUUUUUCUCUUUUCUAGCAAUGCAUGUCUAAACGUUUUGAUGGAUCACAACAAGCUUUGGAUCUGAACAGUAUUCACACAGACACAGUGAUGCGUUUCCAUCUGCUGAAGCACACACACGACUGAAUGUGGUGACGUUCCUCAACGAGCUGCCAUAAACCCAGCAUGACAUCAUCUCUUUCACCGUGGACGUAAACGCCUACACAAAUACGCUGCUGUCAUUCACAGUGGGCGGAGUCUUCAAAGAAGGUCAGUAUCUUAGUCGUCAUGGUUUUAAGAAGAUCCACUGCAACUCAUCUAUUCUCACUAACGCUUUCCUGGCUUUUUCAGUUGUUGUAGAUGAUAAAUCUAAAGAACCUACAAGGUUUUCAUCACAGUUCCAGCAGUGGAUUCUGGUUUGUGCAUCAUCAACGACCAGCUCUUCAUCAGAAUGGCUACAACGGAGCAGAUCAGCAGAGCUUUUGUGCCCCGCCCCCUUCCUCCAGCCCAGUGCCCACCCUCACUGCCCCACAGCAGGAGAUGCUCAGCACCUUCUCCCUGAAGUCAGACAUGAACCUGGAAUGGUCCCUGAAGUAGGUGUCCUCUCCUAAUGACGUCUACCAGACUAGGAUGAAUGUCACAGCUCACUGGUAAACACUGUCUGAGUGUUGCAGGUGUUUGCAGGACAACAAGUGGGACUUGAACAAAGCAAAACUGUUCCAAAUAUUUUCACUAAAAU